UACGUAGGGGGCAAGCGUUGUCCGGAAUCAUUGGGCGUAAAGAGCGUGUAGGCGGCUCGAUAAGUCUGCUGUGAAAGUCCAGGGCUCAACCCUGGAAGGCCGGUGGAAACUGUCGGGCUAGAGUCCGGAAGAGGCGAGUGGAAUUCCCGGUGUAGCGGUGAAAUGCGCAGAUAUCGGGAGGAACACCAAUGGCGAAGGCAGCUCGGCUGGGACGGUACUGACGCUGACGACGCGAAAGCGUGGGGAGCAAACAGGG
rnacentral:rRNA from 1 species